CAUACUGUUUACAAAUCUAACGGAUACUGUGGUUGAAAGUCCCGAACAGCGUUGCUACAAAAUAUAUCACAGCGUGACUAUUUCUAGCCACAGCAUCUGUUUUCUCUGCAUAACUAACUUAUAUGUCAGCACUUUUUCUAAGCGAUCACAGCGAAUAAGAAGGUGAAGUGUUUCAUUGUGAAACCCAUCACCAUCAUUCAGCUUGAGUUAUGGCAAUGUUGAGCAGCAAAUCCAACGAGGACAUCAGAUUAAUGCUGGAUGAUUAUGGAAUAAAACACGGUCCUGUGGUCGAUUCCACCAGAGCUCUUUAUGAGAAGAAGCUGAGAGAAGCCAUUGCUAAAAGCAAAAAGCCUCAAUCUGACAGGACAUAUUACAGGGAGGAAGAGGAUGUCACUUACAUUCAUCAUCGCAGACCUCAACAAUACGGUGAUGUGAGUGACAGAACUUGGACAGAUUAUAGAGCGAUGGACUACGUAGAUGAGCCUGUCGUAUAUCGGACUCAAUCAUCUUACCGUAAUAUUUCAAGAAGCACACCUGCGGAGCCUCCAACGCAGAAAACACCAGAAAAUAGUUCAACGCGUUUGGUCCCAAUUUGGCUUCAGAUAUUAGUGUUUGUGAUUGUGUCUGCUCUCCUGUACUUGGUUUUUAUAAAUAUGGAACCAGCAGGUCCUGUCAAAAGACUGACAUAGGGUUUCCUUUAGUGAUCUUAUCAAACCGAACUAUCAUUUUUAUUUUAAACAAGCAUUGAUUCAAUACACUGGGUGUGAUAUGCGACAUCUUGCAAUGCGUUUUUAACUUGCCGUGUGUGUGUUUUAUCAAAAUAAUAACCCAUUGUUAAUCUAUCGCAAAUAUGGAGGAAGUGGGUGUUUCAGGAUGCACCUGUUGGGUUAUUUUUAGGAUAUUACAGUGUUGAGGUAUAUUUAACUGUUCUGUAAUUUUUUGUAAUUUCUCAGUCUCAUGUGACAGUAACUGAAAAACAUUUUGUAGGAUUUUCAUAAACCCAUUUCAUUGGUUACAGUCACUGGAUUUGGUCUUCAUUGUUUUACAAUGGUCAGUAAGCUGUUUUUUCAUUGGAAAUAUCAGACGUAUUGUAGCUCAUGCAUUUGAAAAUCUUGGAGCCAAAUGAUAUGAAUGUAAUAACUGCUUCUUUGUUGUGUUCUGUGAUUAUUGUUUGGGGUGUUCUGGAGUUUUCUUUCAAUAGAAACUAUUUUUUUAUACAAGUAAAAAAAAAACAAUAUUUUAAACUUG